AGAGUUUGAUCAUGGCUCAGAAUCAACGCUGGCGGCGUGCCUCAGACAUGCAAGUCGAACGCGAAAGUCUCCUUCGGGAGAUGAGUAGAGUGGCGCACGGGUGAGUAACACGUAGGUAAUCUACCUUCGGGUGGGGAAUAACCCAGGGAAACUUGGGCUAACACCGCAUAAUGCAGCGGCACCACAUGGUGACAGUUGUUAAAGCGGGGGAUUUUCGGACCUCGCGCCUGAAGAGGAGCCUGCGGCAGAUUAGCUUGUUGGUAAGGUAACGGCUUACCAAGGCGACGAUCUGUAGCCGGCCUGAGAGGGCGGUCGGCCACACUGACACUGACAUACGGGUCAGACUCCUACGGGAGGCAGCAGUCGGGAAUUUUGGGCAAUGGGCGAAAGCCUGACCCAGCAACGCCGCGUGAAGGAUGAAAUCCUUCGGGAUGUAAACUUCGCAAGAAUAGGAAGAAUUAGUAGGGGUUAAUACCCCCUAUGAUGACGGUACUAUUUGUAAGCUCCGGCUAACUCCGUGCCAGCAGCCGCGGUAAUACGGGGGGAGCAAGCGUUGUUCGGAUUUACUGGGCGUAAAGGGCGCGUAGGCGGUCAGCACAAGUCAGUUGUGAAAUCUCCGGGCUUAACUCGGAAAGGUCAACUGAUACUGUGCGACUAGAGUGCGGAAGGGGCAACUGGAAUUCUCGGUGUAGCGGUGAAAUGCGUAGAUAUCGAGAGGAACACCUGCGGCGAAGGCGGGUUGCUGGGCCGACACUGACGCUGAUGCGCGAAAGCCAGGGGAGCGAACGGGAUUAGAUACCCCAGUAGUCC
rnacentral:rRNA from 1 species